rnacentral:lncRNA from 1 species
GUUUUAUUCAAAGAUACAGGGAUGAAGGAUAUGCAUGUCCACCUGUCCCUCCCAUGGCUGCUCCCACUCCGCCCUGAGAAAGAGCUUUCCACAGAGAUGGCGGGGGCUCAGGGGAAGUUUCAUUUCAAGUGUACUCACGCCAGGUGGAUUUCGGUAUUUUCUCUGUUUUGUAAUCACGGAUCUGUUUCCGAUUUACAGUGUAAUACCUCCAGCAACACCAUCACACCAGGUAAAAAUCUAAAAAUUAACAUUCGUUCUCAGCUUCUUAAUGUCCUCAGAAUGUAUUCUUCAAGUCUCACAUGAUUGGGAAGUUGUUUUUGUAAUUUACUGGAAUUAGUUAACUUUCUCAGAUCUGUGUACCCUCUCUACUCACACACGAGGCUUCAUCUAUUUUGUUUAUGUCAGUGUUGGGUUUGUUUGACUUUGUUUUCUGUCUUGAAUUCUGCCACCAUUAGAUCCUGUUUUCCUACUUAUCCACCCUGCUUUCCUCUUCCACCCG